CCAGCUGUAGACGGUUGAGGAUGUUCCUCGCGGAAUGGCUGUGCUGCAGCCGUGUACGGUAACUCCAUAGGGAAUAUCUCGUCCCAGUAUUGAUCACGAAUCAGUUCAGGAUGAUCGUGAUGCAUCUCGUCAACAAUAAGUAAACGGACAGACGUCAACUUACUUGCAAGUUUCUGUCAAUGAUCCAGUUCACUUCAAAGUCAUCAUCGUCUUCUCCAAAUGGAUUAAUAAGAGUCUCGGCUACCUUGAGCCAGCCCAUGUAGAAGAAAAAUUGCAAGGUCGUGAAGACAGGAAAAUAAAGAUCAAUUGUAGACUUGGAGGUGGUCUCUGUCCAUUGUCUACCCAUGACACUUGUCAAAAAGUAUGUAUACACAGCUAAAGUAACGACUUGAGUGUAAACUAAAGGUACACUGAUCGUGUCAUAAUGAAUGAGUCUUCCACAAAGUCCUCGAAAUUUAUUAAGUUCAUCGAUCAGCGUCUUCACAGCAAAGUCAUCACGGAUACGACCUUCCUUCCUGGCACGCGUCACGAUACUCGAAGCCCAGACAAUUGGAAGCCAAUGUUUGCUAGGCUUAGGAAACUUUGCGUUGAGACUUUGAAAGAUCAAAAGUUCAUUGUCCAGCAACAAGCCAGCCUCAACAAAGUGAUCCAGAGUAGGAAAACGUUUCUUGACCCGAGAGGAUUAUCUGCUAUCAAUAUCACAUAAUAUAAUCCACAAUAAUUCAUCAACAACGUACCUAACAAUGGUUCGUCGCAUGAGCCUCGCUCUUUCAUCGUUUCCAUGUAUAGUAGCAGAAACAAAAACUGCAAUGGAAUCCGGCCAGGGUAUCACCAUGUACUGAUUCCACCAUCUUGUCAUAACGAUGCUAACGUAGAAUCCCAAAACAAAUGAGAGUGGUAUAAGUUCCCUAUAUUCAUUGCAAUAUGCUACCACAGCUUCAAAGGUCUUUUUCUGCUCUGCAUUCAGCAGGAGUUGAUAGACGGUCGACAGGGCAUAGUAGAUGAAGAGAAAAAGUGCCAGAUCGAGCCAUACAAGCUUGUAUAUACUGGCGCGCCAUCUGAAAGCCAUUCAAAAAAUAUUUCCACCACUGAGGUCAUUGAAGAAGCAUGGGGCUAUGGUAGUAUGGAAUUUCGAAGCCACCGGAAGAAAGAUAUUGCGCAUAGAGAAGAAUAAAGAGCGCCGUCCGAUGAGCGUGAAAACGACAGGAACGUCGCCGAGGUGUUUCUAGAAGCGGACCUUGUGUUACCGCCUAGGCGUAAUUAUGAAUAAUAUAAACGAUACCGUAGAAACCACGUCAUGAACCAGCUCGUGCAACACUUCAGCGACGCGUGUUAUAAUUUAAACAGAAAUUCACAAUAGACUAACAAAUGCAAAGUGACUGAGACUAUCGCUGUGAUUAUUGAAUUGUUCUUCCUUGUGAGGUAUUUUCAUGCAAAUGCGUUUUUAUUUCCAUAUUAUAAUGACUUCCCAAGUUUUCAAGGCCGCUGUAAUCUAGUUUAAAAUGGAGUCAUUUAACUAAAACGAGGAAAGUUAAUAAUUUUCCUUCAAAGCUAAGGUGAACGGAAACGCGUGUUUACUCGGAUACCGCAUUAUGAAUAUGGCGCAUGUUUUGCGGAUAUAUACGGUCUGUUCUAUAGAUUUUAUUACAAUACAAAGUAAUUAUAGGACCAAGGUGCGCAGUGUGAAAUCCUUUCAGGAUUUAGGGCCGCUGAACCUUUUCAUUGCUUUGACACACUUGUCAAACGAAGGCUUGCCCGAAUUGUACUGAAUAAGCAGUUUUAGGAGUUUGAAAAAAAAGCAGACUGUACCUAGACACGAGAAUAGUUUCUGUGGACGCGUGCUCUAUUUACUUGUGACUAUGUAGAUGGUUGAACUUGCAAAAGUUGGCAAGGAUCAGAAACGUCUAGGUCUGCGUACGCAUACUCAGGAACCUCUUACGUGAAUCAUGCUUCUGAUUCCCUUCAUAGUUUUGUGAUGCGAUAUUUAUUAAAAGAAACAAGGCUGCGUGCAGUCA